CCAAUAGCGUAUAUUAAAGUUGUUGCAGUUAAAAAGCUCGUAGUUGAACCUCGGGGUCUACCCAUUGGUCAGGCUUAAUUGUCUGCACUGGUGAGAUGGAUCUCUACCUUCUGAGGAACUUUCAUGCCAUUUAUUUGGUGUGAUUGGAAAUCAGGACUGUUACUUUGAAAAAAUUAGAGUGUUUAAAGCAGACUAUCGUCUGAAUACAUUAGCAUGGAAUAAUGAAAUAGGACGGACUGAUUCUAUUUCGUUGGUUUCUAGGAUCACCGUAAUGAUUAAUAGGGAUAGUUGGGGGCAUUAGUAUUCAAUUGUCAGAGGUGAAAUUCUUGGAUUUAUUGAAGACUAACUACUGCGAAAGCAUUUGCCAAGGAUGUUUUCAUUAAUCAAGAACGAAAGUUAGGGGAUCGAAGACGAUCAGAUACCGUCGUAGUCUUAACCAUAAACUAUGCCGACUAGGGAUCGGACGAAGUUAAUUUUAUAAUGACGCGUUCGGCACCUUACG
rnacentral:rRNA from 1 species